rnacentral:rRNA from 1 species
UUACAUGCAAGUCGAACGGCAGCAUGAUCUAGCUUGCUAGAUUGAUGGCGAGUGGCGAACGGGUGAGUAAUACAUCGCGAACGUGCCCUGUAGUGGGGGAUAACUAGUCGAAAGAUUAGCUAAUACCGCAUACGACCUGAGGGUGAAAGUGGGGGACCGCAAGGCCUCAUGCUAUAGGAGCGGCCGAUGUCUGAUUAGCUAGUUGGUGAGGUAAAGGCUCACCAAGGCGACGAUCAGUAGCUGGUCUGAGAGGACGAUCAGCCACACUGGGACUGAGACACGGCCCAGACUCCUACGGGAGGCAGCAGUGGGGAAUUUUGGACAAUGGGCGAAAGCCUGAUCCAGCAAUGCCGCGUGUGUGAAGAAGGCCUUCGGGUUGUAAAGCACUUUUGUCCGGAAAGAAAUGGCUCUGGUUAAUACCUGGGGUCGAUGACGGUACCGGAAGAAUAAGGACCGGCUAACUACGUGCCAGCAGCCGCGGUAAUACGUAGGGUCCAAGCGUUAAUCGGAAUUACUGGGCGUAAAGCGUGCGCAGGCGGUUGUGCAAGACCGAUGUGAAAUCCCCGAGCUUAACUUGGGAAUUGCAUUGGUGACUGCACGGCUAGAGUGUGUCAGAGGGGGGUAGAAUUCCACGUGUAGCAGUGAAAUGCGUAGAGAUGUGG